UAAAAGAAGUGGUGAGGCGGCCUUCUGCUGUUAUGCACCUAAAAUCUGGAAUAGCUUGCCAAUAGGAAUUUGCCAGGCUAAUACAGUGGAGCACUUUAAGAAACUGCUGAAAACACAUUACUUUAACAUAGCCUUCUCAUAACUUCACUUUAAUUUAAUCCUGAUACUCUGUAUAUCCAAUUCAUUAUAAUAACUAUUCAUGGUGGCUCUAAAAUCCAUACUAACCCCUACUCUCUCUUCUGUUUCUUUUUCCGGUUUCUUUGUGGUGGCGCAUCUACUCAAAGCACUGUGAUGUUCCAACAUUGAUGGAUUAAAAGCCAGAAAUCUGCAUGACCAUCAUCAUCAAGUCCUUCCGUGAGAACCUUAAAUACAAAGAGGACUAUUUCAUUUAUGUUAGGUAGAAUGCCCAGAGGGGACUGGGCGGUCUCGUGGCCUGGAACCCCUGCAGAUUUUAUUUUUUUCUCCAGCCGUCUGGAUUUUUUUUUUUUUUUUUUUGCUGUCCCCCCUGGCCAUUGGACCUUACUCUUAUUCUAUGUUAACUAACGUUGUCUUAUUUUAAUUUCUUAUUUUGUCUUUUAUUUUUCUUUUCUUCAUUAUGUAAAGCACUUUGAGCUACUUUUUGUAUGAAAAUGUGCUAUAUAAAUAAAUGUUGU